CCCCUAGAUGUUCUGGGCCGCACGCGCGCUACACUGAACAGUUCAACAAGUCUUAACCUUGGCCGAUAGGUCUGGGUAAUCUUUGAACGCUGUUCGUGAUUGGGAUAGACCUUUGCAAUUAUGGGUCUUCAACGAGGAAUUCCCAGUAAGUGCGAGUCAUUAUCUCGCGCUGACUACGUCCCUGCCCUUUGUACACACCGCCCGUCGCUACUACCGAUUGAAUGAUUUAGUGAGGACUUCGGACUGAGUCCAAUGCGGCUUUCGGGCUGCGUUGGUAUUUCGGAAAGAUGUCCAAACUGUAUCAUUUAGAGGAAGUAAAAGUCGUAACA
rnacentral:rRNA from 1 species